AAAAUAAAAUUUCUUAAGCAAUAGCAAAUUAGUACUAUUAUUUAGUAUUUUCAAUUUUGUACUCCUAUAUAAAGCAAUAAGGCAUCGAUGUUGACACCAAAUUCACUAAUCAAUAAUAUCAUCACCCGAGUACGCCGCCGCCGCCUCUUGUGCCAUUGUAAAGCCCUAAUGGUUCCAUCCUCCGCCAUGGUCUCGCCGAAACCAUCGAUCCCAGAAGGAGAUGAUGAGGAGUACGAGAUCGUGUACGAGGAAAUCGAAGAGGAAAUCGAAGAGGAAAUCGAAGUGGAAGAGGAGAUUGAAGUCGAGGAAGAGGUAGAGGAAGAAGACGAUGUCGGAGCCGAUCAUGUCGAAAGUCGAAGGGAGGUUGAAAUUGGGGAGGAUCUAACUGCUUCGAGCCUAAAAAAUCUGGAAACUGAUACUGGUAAGAUUCUAGAGCUUGAUGAGCAGAAAGACCAUAGACAAUCAAGUUCCUCUACUGAAGAAUUUUUGGUUUCAAAAAUUGGAGAUGUGAAACCUUUUGAGUCACAUGAAAAAGAAGAAUUAUAUGGCAAUGGGGGAGAAAUCUCUAAAUACAAUCAGGAAAAGAUACCUUUGAAUGACAGUGGAGAAGUAAAUCAUGCCAAAACCUCUAAUUCCAUUGGAGAUGUUAAUGCCACAUCCACAGUGGUUAAUGCUUCUGGGGAGAAUGUUAGUGCUACUGCAUCAAUCAUGGAAAAAACCGACCAGUCUGCUUUAGAAGGUGUUGGCAACAUAUCACCCAGGUUGCAUGCUGCAAAAAUAAGGUUAAGGGAUCCUUCACCUAGUGCUGAAAUUGAUCGUGAGAGCAAAAAAAUAAGGAUGGUGUGUGAAUUUCAUGCCAAAGGAUGGUGCAUCAGAGGAAAGUCUUGUAGGUUCCUUCACAUAAAGGACGCACCAGAUGCAGUGAUGAUAAAAAGUGAAGCCUUGGGGAGGGAAGCAGCAUCUUCUAGUGCAUUUAUUCCACCCCUACAAAGUGGGGACGCAAAUUUAAGUAGUGAGACAGAAAAGCUGGUUCUUCCUGAAGAUGGUACCUAUCCAGGUGCUCCUACACAGGAAGAUAGAUGGAGUGUCAGGCACAACUUGUAUCUGGAUAAUUGUCAGAACAAUGGCAGUCCUCCUGUCCAAGGAAUUUUAAAUGCUAGAGAUGGUCUGGAGCAUCAUGCUCACAUAUCCUCUUCCAUGCAACAAAGUAUUCCGCAAGCUUUUAGUUCUGAAUCAGCUUCUCUGUUGCGUGAUGGUAGUUUCAAGGAACCCAAGCCACCCAAGUUGGAGGCUACUUUCUCUUCUUUUGAUUGGCAGACAUCUGCUCCUUUCUGCCCAUCUCAUGAGAUAACUCGAAGCAUAUUGCUGAAAGAAUGUGGCUAUAACAGUGCUGAUCAGAAAUAUGUUGCGGAUAUCCAGGCGAUUUUUUCACAUUCUGACCAGGGAUCAUCUGUUAAGAAUGUAACUGUUCAGUCAAGCAGUCCUCAAGGGGAGGCAAAACUUUUGAAUUGUGUUCUUGCUGGUGAUAAUGGGAAGGAAAAUAUAUUGAGCUCUAGCAAUGAUGAAAAAGUGAAACACAAUAAGACAGUGAAUGGAACAGUGGACGGAACAAUAUCUGAAGCUGGCGGAUCAGGCACAAAAUAUGAUAUUGAAGCUGACUUUAGGCAAGAUGAUCAUGUGCAAAGUGAUACGAAGGCUUUCAAAUAUUUCCAAUCUGCACUAAUAGAAUCUGUGAAAGAAUUAGUGAAACCAUCUUGGCGGGAAGGCUUUCUAAGCAAAGAUGCUCAUAAAUUGAUAGUUAGGAAGGCUGCCAACAAGGUUCUUAGUUCUUUGCCAGCCCACCAAAUUCCUAGCACAGAAGAAUCUGUCCAGUCAUAUCUUUCUUCAUCUCAGCCCAAACUUGCAAAGCUAGUUGAGGGAUAUCUCAAUAUUUAUGGCAAAAUUUGAGAGUGUUGAAUGAUUAUGCUUGUGCUGUACUCUCCGCAAAAGGAAAAUUUUGAACCCUUCAUGGUGGGCCCUUUAUGCUUUUUCCUUUUAUCAAAACCAAAGGCUUCAUUUUUAAGAUAUCUAAUUUGUUGGUGAAACUUCAGAAACCUAGAUCAGGUUCAAGAGAUAUAUAUAGUAUCAGCUGACAAGCCAUUAGCAAUUGCAAGCUCGGCUGAUAGAAUCGAUUAGCUGUGGAAAGUGAAGUCUGUUGUUGUAUACUUUCCUCACUGCAACUUGUGUUGUUUGAUGCUUUGGGUUGGUUGACUGGAACGACAAUCUCUGCACGGGGUGGCAAAUGAUGAGAACAGCUUCUGACUGAAACUUUUGUCUCCUGCCGACUGCUUCUCAUUUGCUCUCCUUUUGGCUUGGGAAACUUGCUUCCUGCUGCUACUCUGCUGAUUUGGCUGCUUCACAUCUCUCCUGCUCCGAGGAAUUUUUAGGAAACUCUCCAGAGUUGUUUGGGCUCACAUUCGUCGAGCCAGCAUUGGAGCGGCUGAAUUCGACCUCCUGGUCUUCCUUUUUUUCUUUUGAGCUGAUGAGGCCUGCGAAGGAAAUCGACUCGCUCGAGGGGAAAUCUGCUGCAACAUCUGGGAACAUUUUCUUCGGCAUGGUGAACUACUGGAAUUGUGUUGACAGAUAGUUGCUGAAAGAAAAGAUGAUACGGAGAAACCCGUAUCAAUGAUAAUUGGCGAGAAUUCGCCGGAUAUUGAAGGUCCGUUCGCGGGAUCCUCCCGUCGAGCAACCAAUGAACAAAGAUGGAAAAGUAAGUUGUAGAAAAAUAAAAGACGGAACGAUAAUAAUAAUAGAGAUAUGUGAGAUAUUUUGGAAGAUAUAAUCGUAUCAAAAGAAGAGUGUUGAAUAAAGGGUUUGUUGAUGCAUACGAGGUUGGAUGUGGGAGACUCCGAAACAAGCUUGAAACCGACUCCAAAUAUUGGUGCUACUGCCUAAACUCAUCUACUGUCACUUUCAAAUGGAGUUCGGUAAAGGUGAAUUUUCCAAUGUGAUCUGCAUCCUAGCUGGCCUUUGUGUAAUUACUUGUUCAAACUUUAACUGUUGUUAUGAAAAUUUGCAAAUCAAAUGAGCAGAACGAUUUUUUUUAGAAUAUGAUCAAUAAUUGUUCUUCAUUUGAUUUUGCGGUUGUGGUGACUCGUUACAUUCUUAUUAUUAGUUGGAGGAUAUAUGUUUUGAUUAA